UCCAAAGUGAACUGGAAACCGGGCUAC
rnacentral:piRNA from 1 species